UACGGAGGAUCCGAGCGUUAUCCGGAUUUAUUGGGUUUAAAGGGUGCGCAGGCGGGGGAUUAAGUCAGCGGUGAAAUUUUGCAGCUUAACUGUAACAGUGCCGUUGAUACUGGGGAGCUAGGAUUUGGUUGCUGUGGGUGGAAUGUGUGGUGUAGCGGUGAAAUGCUUAGAGAUCACACAGAAUAUCGAUUGCGAAGGCAGCUCACAAAGCCAAGAUUGACGCUGAGGCACGAAAGUGUGGGGAUCAAACAGGAUUAGA
rnacentral:rRNA from 1 species